rnacentral:tRNA from 1 species
GAGGGUAUAGCUCAAGUGGUAGAGCACAUGCUUAGCAUGCAUGAGGUCCUAGGUUCAAUCCCCAGUACCUCCU